CAAAACUAAACAAUAAAGCUAUUGCAUUCCAAUAAAUAAAACCUUAGACAUUUUACAUCCUAGGAUUUUUUAAAAGUUUUAAUGUGUUGCUGAGUUAUCUUUUAUAUUAUCUGAACAAUACUGUUGUUAUAUGCAGCCAUAAAAAUCAGACAGUUUACUUGUUUAUUUUAAAAAUGAGUUUGUUACUUUUUUGGCUUUACUAUUAUUUCAUCUGUCUACCCAUCUAAGUAAAUGUGAUUACUGGUAAGCAAGACAUAAAAAUUUAAACUUAUUUUAAGUAUCUUCCUAGU
rnacentral:lncRNA from 1 species